UUCUGUGAAGUACACUGUGUGGUGUCAGCUGGGCUGAAUGGACAGAUGCCUGGAGCAUUAGCAUGUCCAGGAAGGUGGGUGUCAUGUUCAGUGGACUGAGUGAGGAAACCCUUCCUGUGUGUAGGAGGCUCAGCUCAAUGGCCUGGGCCAUGCAGACUGCAGGAGAAUCAGGGGACACUCAUCUUUGAUCUUCUCAAGCUCUCCUCCUCCAGAGCAUGAGCUUCUCCUGCCAUCAGACUUGGAUAUUGACCCCAAAUCCUUUGGCCUUUGGACUUGGACUUGCACCUGCUGCCCUCUCAGGGAAUCGUGGACUUGCAGCCCUGAAUUAGGGUGCAUCAUGGACUCUCUCCUUCUGAGGCUUCUGGCUUCUUGACUGAGAUGCAAAUAGAGAUGGGCAAGGCCAUGCUGAUGACCACCAGUUCUGACAUCAUCACUGCUAAUGCACUUGCACACACACACACACACACACACACCACCACCACCACCACCACAGUAUCCUGAAAUUAAGGCUGGAAGAGAAAUCAUGAACAUGGCUCAUAAUGGUUGCAUAACCUUCCAUUUAUCUCUUAUUUGAGGAACCACAGGUGUUACUGUGAUGACCCUGGCUCCUCCCUCCUGCCUUUGGCAUUGUAGAGUCAUCAUCCACCUCCUGCAGGUCCAAACAGAACCUUUUACAGACAGAUGAAUAUACUUAUUUGCAUUGAUUCUUGCAGAAGCCAGGUCAGCCCACACAGCUUCUGACCUCUAGGAAUUACUGUUGUCUCUGGGUCUCAGAGACAACUUCAGUGGCAGAGGGUCAGGGUCAGAUUUCAUUCUGAACCUCUGGAAGGUGGAGGCUGAGACAUUGGUGUUUACUUCUGUGUGCAGCUCUUAAACUUCCUCUCACAGGUUCAGCCCUGAACACAG
rnacentral:lncRNA from 1 species